UUUCUCUCUUUGUUUCGUCUCUACGCUGCCUUGUCUCACAGUCUCACCUCACUCGCACCCUUUCUAGUCUCUCCUCCCUCUCUCUUUCUCUUUCUCUUUCUCUUUCUCUUUCUCUGGCUUUAAUUCUUCUUUGAAGAGGGGAAGGGCCUAUUUUGGGUCCUCUUCCAUUUACACCGAACAAAGACCUCAAACAAAGAAAGAAGGAAAGAAAAAAAAUAUGCAUCCUGUUAAAUACGGUGCCCAUCAUCUAGAGCAACAGCAGUUAAUGGAUGAUGACGGCUCCUCUUCUGCAGUUUUCUCCAUUUCUAAUCCUCCUCAAUACCACCACCAACAAUCUCCUUUUCAUCCUAACUACCCUCAACAUUCUCAACAGCAACAGAAGCAACAGCAAAAUCUUUUCCAACAACUUUCAUCAGUUCCGGUUACGCAUCAGCUUUUCCAACAUCAGCAGUUUCAACCAUUUGAACAACAAGCCGAGCCUGCUCAUCAUCAUGUCCAUCAACAACCCUUUUUGGCUGUCAAUUUCAAGUUGGGUCUGAAUGAAAAUAGUGGGAAAAAGGAGGCUGCUUUAGCUUUGAAUCAUCAACCGAAUGAUGCUACUUUUUUCGACGGAAAUGAGCAACAUGUUCAUGGGAAUCGGCGGCCACAACAACAUUCCCUUUUGAUGCCUCAUUGUUGGCAUCCCCAAGAAGAUUCUCCCAUCAAAGAACCCUUUUGGAAGCCUCUAAACCGAUGUGAAGAUAGGCAGUGUAGUGGAGAUGGAGCUAGAGAGAUGGAGGGGAAUAAGUACAACAAGGUUUUGCAACCACCGGGUCAAUGUCCAAGUGAGAGAAGCAAGAAUUUGGAUAACAAAUAUAGACUCUUUGGUGAGCUUGAAGCUAUUUAUGGCCUUGCGAAGGGUGGAGAAACUACUCAAGCUGGUUCUGGGUCUGCUCUCACUGGUGAAAAUUCACCUACAAAUGUUGGUCUUUCCAUGCCCCUAAGUGAAUUUCAAGGACAUAAUGUAGGUGCCAAUUGCGGGGGUGGUAAUGUUGCACAUGGGGUUGAUCAUGGAUCAGAGACUUCUAUUGGAGAAGAAGCUUCAAUAAGGAAGAUUGAAAAGAAGAAGAGGAAGAGGAAAAUGAAGGAGCAAUUGAGUUCAAUGAUUGGGUUUUUUGAGUGUUUGGUGAAGCAAGUGACGGAUCAUCAAGAGGGUCUUCAUAAAAGGUUCUUGGAAGUGAUUGAAAGAAUGGAUAAAGAACGGACAGGGAAAGAAGAAUCAUGGAGGCGACAAGAGGCUGAAAAGCGUAAUAGAGAAGCCUUUGCGAGAGCACAUGAACAAGCUCUAGCUACAAGUAGAGAGGCUCUUAUUGUUUCGUAUUUGGAGAAAAUUACAGGUCAAAGCGUCAGUCUACCUGCAAGGACUCCAUUGUUACUGCAGCCGGAAAGUGCAAUUGAACCCUUCAAAGAAAGCAUGCCUGUGAAGGUUGAUAACAGUAGCAGGUGGCCUAGAGCUGAAGUUGAGGCCUUGAUUCAAGUGCGACGUAACUUCGAAUCAAAGUUUCGAGAACCUGGAUUAAAGGGGCCUCUUUGGGAAGAGGUGAGCUCUUUCAUGGCCUCUCUUGGUUAUCAAAGAAGUGCAAAAAGGUGCAAAGAAAAAUGGGAGAACAUAAACAAGUAUUUCAGGAAGAGCAAAGAAAAUGGUAAAAUGCGCUCUCAGCAAUCUAAAACCUGCACUUAUUUUGACCAACUCGAUCAGCUCUACUCAAGAAUACCCGUUACUUGUCCCACUUCGCCUAGGCCUUUGAUUAACAAGGAUAUUGAGAUGCAAGAGCAUGCUGAUUCAGACUUUUUACAAGCUUAUAUGCCUGAGGGUGACCUUGGGACUGCACAAGAUAACGCUAGCGGGAGCCUUAAAGUUUCUGAAAUCAACUCCCAAUUGGAUUUUGAUGGCGCAGUUGAUGAGAAUGUAGUAGUGCAAGGAUGCAAUGGAAAGGACAAUGAAAUCCAUGAAAAUUAGUUGGAGAAACAGGUUGAGCGAUCAGAAGAUGAUGAUAAUGACAGUGAUAUAGGAGAUCAGUGAGAAUUGAGGUGAACCUAAAGAAUAGAAUGUUAAAACUCGGUUUAUCACAAGAUCAUGAUUCUGUUUGGGCUAAAAGAGUGGAAUCUUAAUUUCUCCUGGGAACAGUGCAUGCAAUUGGAGAGUACGUGAGGGGGGUGGGUGGUGGGGCCAGCCUGCAUGGCAUGGGCGACGACACAGAGAUCUGAUAUGAGGCUUUCCCUCUCUUCCAUUAUAGAGUUGAAAAAUCUGAAAUCUGAGUACAUUUUUAAUGAACAGAUGAGAUGACAUCACUUGCAAGAGCACGCACGGUGACCCGAUUCACAUGCUGCAUCUUAUUUUCACCAGAACACUCCACUUGUUUCUCUGCACCAUCGUUUAUUUGACUGUUUGCAUCCAACAGCCAUUAACUCUCCCCCUGGAGACUGCACCAAUAAUUUCCUCCUUGGGCCUAUCAAAGUUUUGGCUUUUAUAUUUCUCACUUAUUCUAAUUUUAUCACAUCGAAAAUUCUAAUUAUACAUUGUCUUCAACGUUUCUGGAGGGAAUUGGUUUAAUUCUAAUUAGCAUUACUCGAUCGGUAACAUGGUUGUGAAUGCAUGCAAUGCAAGCACUUUUAUUUGGACUUAUGUUGCUUUAGAAUUACACAAAC